rnacentral:lncRNA from 10 species
GCACUUCCUGCGAGGCCCCUGCAGCAGCAGCGGCGUGGUCAGAGCGAGCUUCGGAGAAGCAGUGGUGGGUUCCAUGUGAUGGUGGAGUAGGAGGCAGGUCUCCGCGGAAAGAAAAAAGAAGAAAACAAACCUCCAUACGAGAAUGGGUCUAAAGGAACUUCCCAAACCUCCAUGAUUUUGCAGGAAACAAGAUAAAGGAAAAAUGUAUUUCAGAUGAGACCAGAAUUGGAAACAUAUUCUGUGCCGUCAGAUAGCACUGGCUUAGGAGAUGAAUGAGGAGGAGCCUGCAGGCUACCUCAAGGAUAAGAAGCAGGCAAAAGGUGGUUUCCACAAGAAAAAUGGCACAAUGUUUCUCAGAAGACAAUUACAUAAGAAUCAGCAUACUUCAAAUUCACAGCAAAUAAUCAGACAAUUGAUGAAAAUACUUACCCAAACACUAAUUGUAGACUAUGCCUUCUGAAUAUGUUUGUCAUAAACUUGGAGUAAGGAAUCCUCACAGGCACUGGACAAUUCAAAAAACGUAAAGUUGUUUGUUAGAAUACUGGUGCU